rnacentral:rRNA from 1 species
CACCCGCAGCUCUAGUGGUGGUCACUUUUAUUGAGCCUAAAGCGUUCGUAGCCGGUUCUGUAAAUCUUCAGAUAAAUUCAUUCGCUCAACGGAUGAUCUUCUGAAGAGACUGUAGAACUUGGGACCGGGUGAGGUUGAAUGUACUUCCGGGGUAGGGGUAAAAUCCUGUAAUCCUGGAAGGACAACCGGUGGCGAAGGCGUUCAACUAGAACGGAUCCGACGGUGAGGAACGAGGGCUAGGGGAGCAAACCGG